UCGGGAAUUUUGGGCAAUGGGCGAAAGCCUGACCCAGCAACGCCGCGUGAAGGAUGAAGUCUUUCGGGAUGUAAACUUCGUAAAAAUAGGAAGAAUAAAUGACGGUACUAUUUGUAAGGUCCGGCUAACUACGUGCCAGCAGCCGCGGUAAUACGUAGGGACCAAGCGUUGUUCGGAUUUACUGGGCGUAAAGGGCGCGUAGGCGGCGUGGUAAGUCACUUGUGAAAUCUCCGAGCUUAACUCGGAACGGUCAAGUGAUACUGCUGUGCUAGAGUACAGAAGGGGCAAUCGGAAUUCUUGGUGUAGCGGUGAAAUGCGUAGAUAUCAAGAGGAACACCUGAGGUGAAGACGGGUUGCUGGGCUGAUACUGACGCUGAGGCGCGAAAGCUAGGGUAGCAAACGGGAUUAGAUACCCACGUAGUCCCUGAGCGGGCUGGCAAGGCGCAU
rnacentral:rRNA from 1 species